rnacentral:rRNA from 1 species
GGUUAAGCGACUAAGCGUACACGGUGGAUGCCCUGGCAGUCAGAGGCGAUGAAGGACGUGCUAAUCUGCGAAAAGCGUCGGUAAGGUGAUAUGAACCGUUAUAGCCGGCGAUGUCCGAAUGGGGAAACCCAGUGCAAUUCGUUGCACUAUCGUUAACUGAAUACAUAGGUUAACGAGGCGAACCGGGGGAACUGAAACAUCUAAGUACCCCGAGGAAAAGAAAUCAACCGAGAUUCCCCCAGUAGCGGCGAGCGAACGGGGAGCAGCCCAGAGUCUGAAUCAGCUUGUGUGUUAGUGGAACGGUCUGGAAAGUCCGACGGUACAGGGUGAUAGUCCCGUACACCAAAAUGCACAGGCUGUGAACUCGAAGAGUAGGGCGGGACACGUGGUAUCCUGUCUGAAUAUGGGGGGACCAUCCUCCAAGGCUAAAUACUCCUGACUGACCGAUAGUGAACCAGUACCGUGAGGGAAAGGCGAAAAGAACCCCGGCGAGGGGAGUGAAAAAGAACCUGAAACCGUGUACGUACAAGCAGUGGGAGCACCUUCGGGUGUGACUGCGUACCUUUUGUAUAAUGGGUCAGCGACUUAUAUUCUGUAGCAAGGUUAACCGUAUAGGGGAGCCGCAGGGAAACCGAGUCUUAACUGGGCGUUAAGUUGCAGGGUAUAGACCCGAAACCCGGUGAUCUAGCCAUGGGCAGGUUGAAGGUUGGGUAACACUAACUGGAGGACCGAACCGACUAAUGUUGAAAAAUUAGCGGAUGACUUGUGGCUGGGGGUGAAAGGCCAAUCAAACCGGGAGAUAGCUGGUUCUCCCCGAAAGCUAUUUAGGUAGCGCCUCGUGAAUUCAUCUUCGGGGGUAGAGCACUGUUUCGGCUAGGGGGUCAUCCCGACUUACCAACCCGAUGCAAACUACGAAUACCGAAGAAUGUUAUCACGGGAGACACACGGCGGGUGCUAACGUCCGUCGUGAAGAGGGAAACAACCCAGACCGCCAGCUAAGGUCCCAAAGUCAUGGUUAAGUGGGAAACGAUGUGGGAAGGCACAGACAGCCAGGAUGUUGGCUUAGAAGCAGCCAUCAUUUAAAGAAAGCGUAAUAGCUCACUGGUCGAGUCGGCCUGCGCGGAAGAUGUAACGGGGCUAAACCAUGCACCGAAGCUGCGGCAGCGACACUAUGUGUUGUUGGGUAGGGGAGCGUUCUGUAAGCCUGCGAAGGUGGCCUGUGAGGGUUGCUGGAGGUAUCAGAAGUGCGAAUGCUGACAUAAGUAACGAUAAAGCGGGUGAAAAGCCCGCUCGCCGGAAGACCAAGGGUUCCUGUCCCAACGUUAAUCGGGGCAGGGUGAGUCGACCCCUAAGGCGAGGCCGAAAGGCGUAGUCGAUGGGAAACAGGUUAAUAUUCCUGUACUUGGUGUUACUGCGAAGGGGGGACGGAGAAGGCUAUGUUAGCCGGGCGACGGUUGUCCCGGUUUAAGCAUGUAGGCUGGUUAUCCAGGCAAAUCCGGAUAAUCAAGGCUGAGGUGUGAUGACGAGGCACUACGGUGCUGAAGUAACAAAUGCCCUGCUUCCAGGAAAAGCCUCUAAGCAUCAGGUAACAUCAAAUCGUACCCCAAACCGACACAGGUGGUCAGGUAGAGAAUACCAAGGCGCUUGAGAGAACUCGGGUGAAGGAACUAGGCAAAAUGGUGCCGUAACUUCGGGAGAAGGCACGCUGGUGUGUAGGUGAAGUCCCUGCGGAUGGAGCUGAGACCAGUCGAAGAUACCAGCUGGCUGCAACUGUUUAUUAAAAACACAGCACUGUGCAAACACGAAAGUGGACGUAUACGGUGUGACGCCUGCCCGGUGCCGGAAGGUUAAUUGAUGGGGUUAUCCGUAAGGAGAAGCUCUUGAUCGAAGCCCCGGUAAACGGCGGCGCCGUAACUAUAACGGUCCUAAGGUAGCGAAAUUCCUUGUCGGGUAAGUUCCGACCUGCACGAAUGGCGUAAUGAUGGCCAGGCUGUCUCCACCCGAGACUCAGUGAAAUUGAACUCGCUGUGAAGAUGCAGUGUACCCGCGGCAAGACGGAAAGACCCCGUGAACCUUUACUAUAGCUUGACACUGAACAUUGAGCCUUGAUGUGUAGGAUAGGUGGGAGGCUUUGAAGCGUGGACGCCAGUCUGCGUGGAGCCAACCUUGAAAUACCACCCUUUAAUGUUUGAUGUUCUAACGUUGGCCCCUGACCGGGGUUGCGGACAGUGUCUGGUGGGUAGUUUGACUGGGGCGGUCUCCUCCCAAAGCGUAACGGAGGAGCACGAAGGUUAGCUAAUCCUGGUCGGACAUCAGGAGGUUAGUGCAAUGGCAUAAGCUAGCUUGACUGCGAGCGUGACGGCGCGAGCAGGUGCGAAAGCAGGUCAUAGUGAUCCGGUGGUUCUGAAAUGGAAGGGCCAUCGCUCAACGGAUAAAAGGUACUCCGGGGAUAACAGGCUGAUACCGCCCAAGAGUUCAUAUCGACGGCGGUGUUUGGCACCUCGAUGUCGGCUCAUCACAUCCUGGGGCUGAAGUAGGUCCCAAGGGUAUGGCUGUUCGCCAUUUAAAGUGGUACGCGAGCUGGGUUUAGAACGUCGUGAGACAGUUCGGUCCCUAUCUGCCGUGGGCGCUGGAGAAUUGAGGGGGGCUGCUCCUAGUACGAGAGGACCGGAGUGGACGCAUCACUGGUGUUCGGGUUGUCAUGCCAAUGGCACUGCCCGGUAGCUAAAUGCGGAAGAGAUAAGUGCUGAAAGCAUCUAAGCACGAAACUUGCCCCGAGAUGAGUUCUCCCUGAGACUUUAAGUCUCCUGAAGGAACGUUGAAGACGACGACGUUGAUAGGCCGGGUGUGUAAGCGCAGCGAUGCGUUGAGCUAACCGGUACUAAUGAACCGUGAGGCUUAACCUU